GUGAAUCAUCGAAUCUUUGAACGCAAAUUGCACUCUCUUCGGAGAGUAUGCCUGUUUGAGGGUCAGCCUAAAAAAAAAAUCGACAUAUUGGUGUUUUCGCGUUGACAUUCUUGGGAAAUUGGUUAUUUUUAAACUUUUGGUUUUUAAGCGGUUUAAAUUUUUUUUUACAUUUCCAGGAAGGUUUCUAAAAUUUAUUUUUUUUCGUUUUA
rnacentral:misc_RNA from 1 species